UGGGGAAUUUUGGACAAUGGGCGAAAGCCUGAUCCAGCAAUGCCGCGUGUGUGAAGAAGGCCUUCGGGUUGUAAAGCACUUUUGUCCGGAAAGAAAUCCUUGGCUCUAAUACAGUCGGGGGAUGACGGUACCGGAAGAAUAAGCACCGGCUAACUACGUGCCAGCAGCCGCGGUAAUACGUAGGGUGCAAGCGUUAAUCGGAAUUACUGGGCGUAAAGCGUGCGCAGGCGGUUUGCUAAGACCGAUGUGAAAUCCCCGGGCUCAACCUGGGAACUGCAUUGGUGACUGGCAGGCUAGAGUAUGGCAGAGGGGGGUAGAAUUCCACGUGUAGCAGUGAAAUGCGUAGAGAUGUGGAGGAAUACCGAUGGCGAAGGCAGCCCCCUGGGCAAUACUGACGCUCAUGCACGAAAGCGUGGGGAGCAAACAGGAUUAGAUACCCUGGUAGUCCACGCCCCUAAAACGAUGUCAACUAGUUGUUGGGGAUUCAUUUCCUUAGUAACGUAGCUAACGCGUGAAGUUGACCGCCU
rnacentral:rRNA from 1 species